rnacentral:tRNA from 1 species
GCUGGUGUAGCACAGUGGUAGUGCAGCUGAUUCGUAAUCAGCAGGUCGUAAGUUCAAAUCUUAUCACCAGCUCCA